UAAGAGACAGCAGUCGCCGCGGUAAUACGUAGGUCCCGAGCGUUGUCCGGAUUUAUUGGGCGUAAAGGGAGCGCAGGCGGUUUAGUAAGUCUGAAGUUAAAGGCAUUGGCUCAACCAAUGUAUGCUUUGGAAACUGUUAGACUUGAGUGCAGAAGGGGAGAGUGGAAUUCCAUGUGUAGCGGUGAAAUGCGUAGAUAUUCGGAAGAACACCAGUGGCGAAGGCGGCUCACUGGCUCAUUCUAGACGCUGAGGUGCGAAAGCGUGGGGAGCAAACAGGAUUAGAUACCCCAGUAGUCCCUGUCUCUUAUACA
rnacentral:rRNA from 1 species